rnacentral:lncRNA from 1 species
AAGAAAAAUUUAGGGGUUUAGAAGAGAGGGGGUCGGGUUGGGCAGUGUGGGUAUGGAGUGAAUUGGUUUUAGAUUUUCUUAGUUGUUAGGGAUUAGUGUGGGUUGGGGAUGAAGAAAAAUAGAAAGGAAGAAACUUUGGUGGAAGAUUAAUGAAGGAUUUGGGGUCGUGUGGGAAGGAAUUUAAAGGGAGAAGAAGAAAUUGAAGAGUUGAGAGAAUAUGGAGAGUGGGGGUCGG